rnacentral:misc_RNA from 1 species
GGCAGGCGACUCAGUGUCGGUCGGGAAGGUGGCGAGUGUGUGCCCGUCGCUGUUCCUGCCUGCCUCUCCUCCUUCCCCCCCAGGGGCACCAAACUCACGUGUCCUGCCCCUCGGUACCUUGGUAACCCCCCCGUGUGUCCUGGCACUCAUGUCCACCAGUGGCUGAGACCCAGAUGCAAGAGUGUUAGUAAAGGCGUCGACGCCUGGUUCACGGGACACAACCUGCGGUUUGACUGAAUUAAGAUUGGAGGGAUAAAUAAUUACGGAUAUUGAUUCCCCCGCCUCUUCUUUUCCCCCCCCUUCCCUACCCCCCUCUACCCCACUCCCCUCCCUAUCAACGUCCGCCUCAAUAGCAGUGAGGGGAACUACCAGAAGAUCUGUGGUCAGCUGGGAGCCAGGAAGGUGUCGCCACGACGGAACAAGACGCCAUAGCCUCGUGAACAAUACGGGAAGUAAAGGAGAGACGAGACGUGGCUGCAGCCGGCGCUCCUCAACACAUCUCAGAUGGGCGUGUGGAAGUGCGUGGUGGUGGCCUGCAGCCUGGCCGUGGGCGUGGGCGGCCAGCGAGCGCCCUGCUACGAGUGUGAGAUGUACAAGGACGCCCACCCUCACUCCAACCCUUACAUAGCUAUCCGCGCCCACUGCGUGUACCCGUGCGGGUGUGAGGGCGUGCCAGAGUGCGCGCCAGGCGUGCGGGUGGUGAUGGACGGGUGUGGCUGCUGCUGGCAGUGUGCGCGCCAGCUGGACGAGCCUUGCGACGGUGCCACCGUCUGUGACGUCGCCGCGGGACUCACCUGCCACUACGCCACCACCGCUGACCCCACCGGCACCUGCCAGGAGGUGCGGCCUGCCAAGUGUACCGUCAACAACCGAACAUACGACCAUGGCCAGAUCUUCGCACUUGACUGUCGCACCCAGUGUUCCUGUCAGAACGGGACGUACGCGUGUGUGCCACUGUGCCCCAGCGAGAACAUCCCGCCGGGGGAAGAGUGCCACAACCCACACCUGGUGACGGUGCCAGGCCAGUGUUGCCGCGAGUGGAUGUGUGACACCGACCCAGGUAAGGCUGUGGGUCCGCCGGCGUGCGCACGAGAGUCUGGCAGCUGGUCGGCGUGCUCCAGGGGCACGUGCGGCGCCGGCAUGUCCGUGCGCUGGACCACCGACAACCCUGACUGCCGCCCUCUCAACCAAACACGUUUGUGUCAAGUCCGGCCGUGUCAGGAGCGGCUCCGGCGCGACCCCCAGCAGUCAACACCGCCCGACACAGCCGUCAAGUUCUCCAGGAAACAUCAUAUUAGACGCGGACACACGUGCAAGGCGACACAGAGGCAAGUGAAGUCGGUACGACUCCGUGCAGGCUGGUGCGUCAGCGAGCACCGCUACAAACCCAAGCAGUGCGGCGCGUGCACAGACCGCUGCUGCACAGUACACGCCUCCACCACCAUCUCCGUCGCAUUUCUGUGUCCUCUCCACUACAACAACGACCUGUCAGCGCCGCGACCCCGCUACCACAUCCUCUCCAGACUCCGGCGCACACGCCCCGUCCCCCACACCACCACCACCACCACCACUCAUGUUCCUGACGUGUACGACAUGAUGGAUGAAGGACAACCUAUCCUGGAACCUGCUCUAACCUAUCCACAACGAGCACAAGAAGAUGAACCAGCAAUCGAGGAGCACCCUGUCACCGACCACUUUCAUGGUCACAACCACCGCCGUGGUCACGACCACCUGCAUGGCCUCAACCACCACCACCGUGGCCAUAGUCGUGCAGCCAGUGACUACUAUAAAUACAACGUAGUCGGAGGCGGCGCGGCCGACGACCAUGACGCGACCCUACAGUUGGUACACAGCAACUUACUUGUGGAGGACGACCUGGAGUACGAGCACAUCAAGAGCGACAGCUAUGAGGUGGUACAUCAUCAAGUGGAGUGGAUCCUGCGGUGUAAGUGUAGCCGGACCUGUGAGCCUCAGCCACACACACACCAGACACAACCACAAGCCACAAAAGGAACACAAGGAACGCUUACGUAACGUUUAGGACGUGCGUGUACACCUAGACCUGAAUGACAGGAAUCACCGCGUUACUUCUGAUGACUUACAAGGAACACUUCGCGGCCGGGCAGCACGGAGUAUAUAUGUACCCACGCCACACUACACCUGGCCCUAUAGCCCGUGCUACAUGGACAUUUCGUUCUGAGUAGCUAAAUCUAAAACAAGAAGAAGAACAACACCUGGCCAGAGAUGGUGUGGUCUCUGGCCUGGAGUGUGCCGCCAGACUACACCAGGUGUGGUCUCUGGCCUGGAGUGCGCCGCCAGACUACACCAGGUGUGGUCUCUGGCCUGGAGUGCGCCGCCAGACUACACCAGGUAUGGUCUCUGGCCUGAAGUGCGCCGCCAGACUACACCAGGUGUGGUCUCUGGCCUGGAGUGCGCCACCAGACUACACCAGGUGUGGUCUCUGGCCUGAAGUGCGCCGCCAGACUACACCACAGCGGACUCUUAACGCCUUGUGAAGAAUCAUGUACAACACAUAUCUUUGUUUAUAAGUUUAAUUGCCUUCACAGUGUCCUCAGUACUGGGAAGCGGUCUUCAGACAUGACCAUUUGACAUGACAACUUGGGAUUUAUUAAAGAAAUCAGGUUUGGUGUGACCGUUAACCACUUACACAAAGUGUCCUUGGCCCCUUGAAACGUUUAACUAAAUAUGUGAUUAUUUUACAGUUGAAGUUAAUAGUUGCACAUUUACCUGAAUGAUGGGUAAAUGCUAAGUAUCCCAGGUAUUAUAGUGAUGUAGGCCUUGAAUAUCAUUUGUCAAUACUGUAUAUGUAUGUAUGAAGCCAACUUAGAAUGUAUGUAUUUUUUGUAUAUAUAUAUAUAUAUAUAUAUAUAUAUAUAUAUA